ensembl:lncRNA
UUGGACCUUGAUGCUGUGACAACAGACAAGUCUUCUUCCUCUGUCCUUUUUCCCUGCCUCUGUUCAGUAUUGUGGCAGACGCCAGGGAGGAGUGAGGGGAGCGGUAGGUCCGGCAACCUGCUGGCUCCACCCCCAAGCCAUAUAUGGACUUCCUCACGUUAACGAGGCGAGCCUGGGGAUCAUUAAGCAGGGUAGCUGGGGCUUAAGAGGGCUAGCCAACAGACAUGUGGGGAAGUUGGAGUUGGAAGAGGAGCUAGGGCUAGGUGAGGACAGGCAGGAUCUGUGUGAUCGCCUGGCAGAGUGGUACGCCUUAAGGGAGAGAGAUAGGUGGAAGGGGUUGGACGGACAUUGGAACUUUAGCAUAUAAGAGGUGGAUGACCCUUUCCCACCCUGGUUUGCAUUUACAAGGUAAAUAAACCAUUCUGUGCUUGGAACUGCUCUGUGUGUUGUGUCAUUUGUCUACUCAACUUGGUAGCGUGGAAACCCCACACCCACUGGCCCGCUACACAUGGUGGAGAAUGCGUGCUUGUAACCUGAUCCCAAGUUGAAUAGAUAGACCAACACACAGGGAAACCAUGGAAGCACUGUUGAGAAAACUGUUGGAGGCGAACAGGGCACAGCUAGCCAGUAGCCGGGAGCUGCUCGGCGUGCUGACAGCCGGUCAGGUCGGCAAGGCUGCAGGUGCGGCAGUGCCCUGUCCUGGGCCCCAGCAGGUUUGUCUCGCCAUGGCAAGACACGCAGACGCAGCCGCCGCCGCCGUAAAGGCCGAUUUAUGCUCAGAUACGUGAGCGUGAGCGCAAGCGCAAGAGGCCCUUGCGCGCCCUUGCGCACUCCUUGCGCGACUUCUCACGUCUUGCGUGCGUCGGGCCAUUUUUCUAGACUUGCGUCAUUUUUUACGUAAGCUUUUACGCGAGCCGCGCAGCCUGCAAGGCUGUGAUUGGUCUGCUGGUCUGGUUACUACUUCCUGUCUGGAGUAUCACAUUUCCUGUUUUCAUACCGCCAUUUUUAAAAGCCAGAAGGCAAGGACGAUUUUCCAUUUCCGACAUCAAGAUGAAUCGACAGCAAGAGCUCUUGAGCGAGGCAGUGCGUCAAUACAAGCACUUGUACAACCCAUCGCUGGUGGGCUACAAAGACACACAGAAGUGCUCGAAUUCGUGGGAUGAGAUGGCAUCCAACAUGGGCAUGCCGGUCGGAGUGUGUGUCAACAAGUGGAAAAUCAUACGGGACAAAUAUGUCCGAGAGAAGAAGGCGAUGCAAAGCAGCAGUGGCGAUGCUGGGGGAAAGGGGGUUUCUCCCUGGUUUAUAUCGCUGUCGUGGUUGGGGGUGCACAUAAAACAUCGGGCGACCUGCUCAAACUACGACAAGCCCUCAACUGCCAGCAAUGCGUCAUCGCCAUCCACCUCGUCACCUGCAAACUUCCAGCCAUCCAUCUCAUCACAGACAGCCUUCCUCCAGCCAUCCAUCUCAUCACAGGCAGCCUUCCUCCAGCCAUCCAUCUCAUCACAGGCAGCCUUCCUCCAGCCAUCCACCUCAUCACAGGCAGCGUUCCUCCAGCCAUCCAUCUCAUCACAGGCAGCCUUCCUCCAGCCAUCCAUCUCAUCACAGGCAGCCUCCCUCCAGCCAUCCACCUCGUCCUCAUCGGAAGCCUCCCUUGAGCCAUCCUCGCCAGAGGCCUUCUUUGAGGCAACAGCUCUUCCCCGGCCCAAUUUGCCAGCAUUCAGCCCAUCCACCCCUUCAGCCUCCAUGAUGUCACCAUCUCCUCCUUCCCACACAGGAAGGAAGAGGAAAAGAAGGGGGCAGCUGGAUGACUUCAUGAGUGAAAGGGUGGCAGAUUUGGAGGAGCGGAGGCAGACUGUGCUGUCACUUGAGAGCAUGGUUGCCCCUGAUGAGUAUGCGAGAUUUGGCCAGGUUGUGGGGGACCUGGCGAGGACUGCAUUACAGGAGAGUAGGCACCCUUUAAUGAUGAGGAUUUUGCAAUGUUUGAUUUCGGCACAGGGCGUAGAAAACUUAAGAGAAUGCCCCUAAGCACUAUGUAAAUAUUUGUUUUAUUCAUAAUUGGUUUGUUUUGUUCUGCACUCUUCUGAUACUUUUGUUCUCUUCUAUUGUUUGGAUUUUGCAUGUUUAUUUUAUUAUUUAUAGUUGUGAAUUUUGUACAGCACUGUUCUUAUACUUUUGUUCUCUUGUUUGGAUUUUGCUCAUUGUAUUUUUAUUAUUCAUAUUUUGUACUUACUGUUCUUGUACUUUGCACUCUUAUUUUACACUUGUAUAAAUAAAAUGGCAAAUAA